GAUGAACGCUGGCGGCGUGCCUAAUACAUGCAAGUCGAGCGAACGGGCGAGAAGCUUGCUUCUCUGAUGUUAGCGGCGGACGGGUGAGUAACACGUGGAUAACCUACCUAUAAGACUGGGAUAACUUCGGGAAACCGGAGCUAAUACCGGAUGAUAUUUUGAACCGCAUGGUUCAAAAGUGAAAGACGGUCUUGCUGUCACUUAUAGAUGGAUCCGCGCUGCAUUAGCUAGUUGGUAAGGUAACGGCUUACCAAGGCAACGAUGCAUAGCCGACCUGAGAGGGUGAUCGGCCACACUGGAACUGAGACACGGUCCAGACUCCUACGGGAGGCAGCAGUAGGGAAUCUACCGCAAUGGGCGAAAGCCUGACGGAGCAACGCCGCGUGAGUGAUGAAGGUCUUCGGAUCGUAAAACUCUGUUAUUAGGGAAGAACAUAUGUGUAAGUAACUGUGCACAUCUUGACGGUACCUAAUCAGAAAGCCACGGCUAACUACGUG
rnacentral:rRNA from 1 species